UCUUUGGAGACGAGGGUGGUCACCCAUCCCGGACGAGCCCCCAAAUGAAAAGACCCCCAGAGUGGGGAGACCCUCACUCAAGUCUUGGGAUGACGCAACCCCCCCAAGAAUUCACACAAGACC
rnacentral:pre_miRNA from 14 species